AUGAUGCACAGUCGAUUCCUCUACGUCAAGUUCCUCAGUAUUUGGGUUCAUACCUUCCCAUUUCAUGAUGCGAAUGAUUAUAUGUCUUUGGUUUCAUUUCUUGAUGCUUGUCCAUCGUUGGAGACUUUCGCCUUGACAACACCAACGAAACCCAUGGAGCAUGAGUCGAUUAUCGGGGACCCCUCGCAUCCGAGGCAGAUGCCAGGACAUCGACAUGGCAAGCUGAAGAGCAUGAAGGUCUUGGGUUUUAACUCUACAAAAAGCUUGAUCGAGCUAAUGGUUCAUAUCAUUGAGAACACAGGGUCACUCGAGUCCCUUUCGUUGGACACCACUUAUUAUGUUGUUAGGUGUUCUGAUGGCAUCAGUGACACAUGCUCUAGCAUGCGCGAGCGUACUCAAAUGGAAGCCCCUAGACCGCUCUUGGCUAUCCAAACGCACAUCCAGGGGAAGGUCCCCUCCACGGUGAAGUUAGAUGUUCUGGAGCCCUGCAGCAGAUGCCAUGCUUCUUGA
rnacentral:rRNA from 1 species